rnacentral:rRNA from 1 species
GACGAAGGAUGCAAGCGUUAUCCGGAUUCAUUGGGUUUAAAGGGAGCGUAGGUGGCCUGCUAAGUCAGUGGUGAAAUCUCUGGGCUUAACCCAGAAAUUGCCAUUGAUACUGGUGGGCUUGAGUGCAGUUGCUGUUGGCGGAAUAUGACAUGUAAUGGUGAAAUACAUAGAGAUGUCAUAGAACACCGAUUGCGAAGGCAGCUAACAAAACUGUAACUGACACUGAGGCUCGAAAGUGUGGGGAUCAAACAGG